CUACGGCUAUUGACGUGAUUAAAAACUGUUAUUCGUGAAUAACAACUGCCGAACAUACAGUACACUCAAUAUCAAUGACAUGCAACUGAAUAACAUUUAAAAGGGUUUAUUAGACUGGAACCGGGAACACCGUUGUUUGAUCACGUCGAUCCACUUCCACUACCUAGAUAAUGGUCCCUACGGCUAUUGACGUGAUUAAGAACUGUUAUUCGUGAAUAACAACUGCCGAUCAUACAGUACAAUCAAUAUCAAUGACAUGCAACUGAAUAACAUUUAAAAGGGUUUAUUAGACUGGAACCGGGAACACCGUUGUUUGAUCACGUCGAUCCACUUCCACUACCUAGAUAAUGGUACUGGUGACUCCUUGGGGCUGGAAUGAGGCUCAUUGAUUAGUAGCGGAGAACUGAAAUUCCGUCUAAAAGAUGUGGACUAGAAAUAAAAUAGUAGAGGAACCUGAUCAGUAAACAGAAGAUAAGGAGAAUGAAAUACAAUGAGAGACAUUGUUGGUGUGAUACCUCCUCUGAACACCACAGAUGGACCCCGAUCUUACACAUCUUACAGCGCAAACCCUGCUUGGAGUUACCUAGACAUAGGUGAGAUGAUGAAUAAAACAUAAACGGUGAUCUCAAUGAUAAAUAGAGAAAUUAGUUAGUUUAGCUAAGAUAAGA